rnacentral:rRNA from 1 species
AGGCAAAAGAUUAWUAUUGGUUGGUAGUAUUUAUUMUAUUUUUAUUAUCUUUUAAAAUUUUAGGUCAAAUUUAUAUUUUUUUUAUAUAAUAUUUAUUUAAUAUUCUACGAAAUUUAGAUUAUAACCAAGGAUUAGAUKCCCUUUUAUACUGAAUGUUAAUAUUACACCUGGGUAGUAAUAGUUAAGUUCUUGAAACCCAAAGAAUUUGGCGGUAUUUUAGUCUUUUCAGAGGAACCUGUUGUGUAAUUGAUAAUCCACGAUUUUAUUUACUUAUAAUUGUAUUCAGCUUUUAUACCUCCGUCAUAAGAAUAUUUUUUUAGAAUAAAUUUUCUUGAUUGUUAAAUGCAUAAAUGUCAGGUCAAGGUGAAGCUUAUGUAUAAGUACUAAUGGGUUACAAUAAAUUUAUUUAUACGAAUCUUUUAAUUUAUAUUAAAAUUGAAGGUGGAUUUGUAAGUAAAACUAAUUAAUUACUUUGUUUGAUUUUAGCUCUAAAAUAUGCACACAUCGCCCGUCGCUCUCAUAAUAAGGUGAGAUAAGUCGUAACAUAGUAGAUUUAUCGGAAGAUGAAUCUAGAAAGUA